AAAAGUCCAAAACACAUCCGCGUCAGGUUAUUUUUUAUCAGGAUGGGUUUGGAUUAAAAAAUCAGUAGAUUAUAUAAAAUACAGAAAAAUUUAGGGAAAAAAGUUCACUAAUUUAACGAAAUUUGUCGUGUAAUUUAUUCCACAACCUAAUUUACUAUGGUAUGUAUAAAAUGAACGAUUCGAAUCAUUCAUACCUCGGAGUGGAUCCCACAAAGUAAGUUUGGAUGGGCA
rnacentral:lncRNA from 1 species